ACCGGCAGCUAGCUCUCUGCUAGUCUCACACGGUCACCCACUGAAGUUAAGCAGGGCUGGGCCAGUCAGUACCUCAAUGGGAGACCACAUGGGAAAGCGAGGUUGCUGCUGGAA
rnacentral:rRNA from 1 species